rnacentral:rRNA from 1 species
AGACAAUAGAUACCCUGGUAGUCCACGCCGUAAACUAUGCUUGCUAGCUGUUAUCAGUAUCGACCCUGAUAGUAGCGAAGCUAACGCGUUAAGCAAGCCGCCUGUGGAGUACGAGCGCAAGCUUAAAACAUAAAGGAAUUGACGGGGACCCGCACAAGCGGUGGAGCGUGUUGUUUAAUUCGACGGUAAGCGAAGAACCUUACCAAGGCUUGACAUCCUGCCAAGCUCUCUGAAAGGAGAGUGUGCCUUCGGGCCGCAGUGACAGGUGAUGCAUGGCCGUCGUCAGCUCGUGUCGUGAGAUGUUUUGGUUAAGUCCAUCAACGAGCGCAACCCUUAUAGUCAGUUGAAUUUCUCUGGCUAGACUGCCCCGGUAACGGGGAGGAAGGAGGGGAUGAUGUCAGGUCAUUAUUUCCCUUACGCCUUGGGCUACAAACACGCUACAAUGGCCGGUACAAAGGGCAGCUAAGUCGCGAGACGGAGCAAAUCCCAUCAAAGCCGGUCUCAGCUCGGAUUGUAGGCUGAAACCCGCCC